rnacentral:tRNA from 1 species
GCCCCAGUAGUGUAGUGGCCUAUCACGGAGCCCUGUCGAGGCUUCGACCCGGGUUCGACUCCCGGCUGGGGCG